ACAAACUCAGCCUUCUAUGUUUACAAUAUAUAAUUUGGUGAAAAAAUGGAGGAAGCUUGGGCAAAGGUGAAGAGGCAAGAAGGACAGAGAAAGGCAGGACAAGGCAGCACAGAGCAGAUCAGCUCAGAAGUAUUUCAAGAACCUAAGAAGUAUGCCAAUGUAGACUGCCACCAAAUCUCAGACGGAGAGCUGCAUAAAAAUUCAUGUAACUAGCGGAUACCAAUUAUCUUGAGGCUUUCGAAGUGACAACAGUAGACAGAUUUAGGAAUGAAGACUUAGACCCGUGUUCCUAAGAACAAUGAGAGUGUCGGAUGUCCCAAAAGGAAAAGGAAAAAUCCCUUAUCAGGAUCCAUAAAUUUGGAGUCUGCUUAUUAUUAAUAGUUUGUUGUGGAAUUC
rnacentral:lncRNA from 10 species